rnacentral:rRNA from 1 species
CCUACGGGAGGCAGCAGUGGGGAAUUUUGGACAAUGGGCGCAAGCCUGAUCCAGCAAUGCCGCGUGAGUGAAGAAGGCCUUCGGGUUGUAAAGCUCUUUUGUCAGGGAAGAAACGGUUGAGGCUAAUAUCCUCGGCUAAUGACGGUACCUGAAGAAUAAGCACCGGCUAACUACGUGCCAGCAGCCGCGGUAAUACGUAGGGUGCAAGCGUUAAUCGGAAUUACUGGGCGUAAAGCGUGCGCAGGCGGUUUUGUAAGUCUGUCGUGAAAGCCCCGGGCUUAACCUGGGAAUUGCGAUGGAGACUGCAAGGCUUGAAUCUGGCAGAGGGGGGUAGAAUUCCACGUGUAGCAGUGAAAUGCGUAGAGAUGUGGAGGAACACCGAUGGCGAAGGCAGCCCCCUGGGUCAAGAUUGACGCUCAUGCACGAAAGCGUGGGGAGCAAACAGGAUUAGAUACCCUGGUAGUCCACGCCCUAAACGAUGUCUACUAGUUGUCGGGUCUUAAUUGACUUGGUAACGCAGCUAACGCGUGAAGUAGACCGCCUGGGGAGUACGGUCGCAAGAUUAAAACUCAAAAUGAAAUUGACGG